CAAAGAAACAUUUUCGAUACGGAUUAUUAUUUAUGCACGAUGCAAAACCGAAACGACGACGCAAGGUGAGGGAGAAAAACAAACAGACAAACUGUCAAAACACUCAAAACGUCGAGAGGGAAGAAGACAUGGUGCCCGAUUUUCUGAUGGCUUUGUACCGGACAUUUCGGUCUAUGUAUUCGUCAAUGGUGUAACGACAUUCGCACCAUCGCUCGAUUUUCAACCGAUCUUCAGGCUCUCCAGGCGAAACAAACUACAGUAGAAUAAUCUCCGGCAAAAUCAAUUCCCAUUAUAAAAGAUUAGUGGAUCGCACCAAUGACGGGAAGAUGACUAAGUUGGAGGUCAUUCGGCUAGACCAAAGUUUUCGACCGGAUAUUUAACAGCUGCUGUGUAGCAUCCGAGGUAGCACCGUAGCAACAGUUGAAGCAGAUUCCAUUUAGUUCGGUCUAGAAUUUCGUUUGAUUUCAGCAAACACCCUGGAUGAAUUUCUACCCAUAGUCCGGAAUCAGCAGGGUUCCCUCAACGGUUGCACAGAGUGUAAUACUCAACGAAAGACGUAUUCAUGGCAGACGUAUGGCCAUUUUUUUUAAUAUUAAAAACGGAAGCCACAAUAAGCAGUGACGGCGAUAAAACUAGUUAUUAAACGAUCAAUAAAAUGAUAAAUUAUCCCAAUAUCUUUUAGAACAUGAUUUAUUUGAUUGAUUACUCCCAAAUUUACAA